GAUGAAGAACGUAGCGAAAUGCGAUACUUGGUGUGAAUUGCAGAAUCCCGUGAACCAUCGAGUCUCUGAACGCAAGUUGCGCCCGAAGCCAUUAGGCCGAGGGCACGCCUGCCUGGGCGUCACACGUCGUUGCCCCCCCAUCUACUCCUUCGGGAUUGCGGGGGGCGGAUGAUGGCCUCCCGUGCGCCUCGUCGCGCGGUUGGCAUAAAUGCCAAGUCCUCGGCGACGCACGCCACGACAAUCGGUGGUUGCGAAACCUCGGUUGCCCGUCGUGUGCGGUCGUCGCGCAUCGAGGGCUCGAAAAAAUUGCCGGGCUCCGGCUCGGCUUUCAACGCGACCCCAGGUCAGGCGGGGUUACCCGCUGAAUUUAAGCAUAUCAAUAAGCGGAGGA
rnacentral:misc_RNA from 1 species